CAGCAGCCGCGGUAAAACGUAGGGUGCGAGCGUUAAUCGGAAUUACUGGGCGUAAAGCGUGCGCAGGCGGUUCGUUAAGACAGAUGUGAAAUCCCCGGGCUUAACCUGGGAACUGCAUUUGUGACUGGCGAGCUAGAGUAUGGCAGAGGGGGGUAGAAUUCCACGUGUAGCAGUGAAAUGCGUAGAGAUGUGGAGGAAUACCGAUGGCGAAGGCAGCCCCCUGGGCCAAUACUGACGCUCAUGCACGAAAGCGUGGGGAGCAAACAGGAUUAGAUCCCCUGUAGUCCCUGUCUCUUAUACC
rnacentral:rRNA from 1 species